UACAGAGGGGGCAAGCGUUGUUCGGAAUUACUGGGCGUAAAGGGCGCGUAGGCGGCCUUCUAAGUCGAACGUGAAAUCCCCGGGCUCAACCCGGGAACUGCGUCCGAGACUGGAAGGCUCGAAUCCGGGAGAGGGAUGUGGAAUUCCAGGUGUAGCGGUGAAAUGCGUAGAUAUCUGGAGGAACACCGAUGGCGAAGGCAGCUCACUAGGUCUGGAUUGACGCUCAGGGACGAAAGCGUGGGGAGCAAACAGG
rnacentral:rRNA from 1 species